rnacentral:rRNA from 1 species
UGGGGAAUAUUGCACAAUGGGCGCAAGCCUGAUGCAGCAACGCCGCGUGAGGGACGACGGCCUUCGGGUUGUAAACCUCUUUUAGUAGGGAAGAAGCGAAAGUGACGGUACCUGCAGAAAAAGCACCGGCUAACUACGUGCCAGCAGCCGCGGUAAUACGUAGGGUGCGAGCGUUGUCCGGAAUUAUUGGGCGUAAAGAGCUCGUAGGCGGUCUGUCGCGUCUGCUGUGAAAACCCGAGGCUCAACCUCGGGCCUGCAGUGGGUACGGGCAGACUAGAGUGCGGUAGGGGAGAAUGGAAUUCCUGGUGUAGCGGUGGAAUGCGCAGAUAUCAGGAGGAACACCGAUGGCGAAGGCAGUUCUCUGGGCCGUAACUGACGCUGAGGAGCGAAAGCGUGGGGAGCGAACAGGGUUAGAUACCCUGGUAGUCCACGCCGUAAACGUUGGGCGCUAGAUGUGGGGACCAUUCCACGGUUUCCGUGUC